CCUACGGGAGGCAGCAGUGGGGAAUAUUGGACAAUGGGCGAAAGCCUGAUCCAGCAAUGCCGCGUGAGUGAAGAAGGCCUUAGGGUUGUAAAGCUCUUUCGCCUGCGACGAUGAUGACGGUAGCAGGAGAAGAAGCCCCGGCUAAUUCCGUGCCAGCAGCCGCGGUAAUACGGAAGGGGCUAGCGUUGUUCGGAAUUACUGGGCGUAAAGCGCGCGUAGGCGGCUGGACAAGUGAGGCGUGAAAGUCCUGGGCUCAACCCGGGGACGGCGCUUCAGACUGUUCGGCUAGAGUCCGGAAGAGGGUGGUGGAAUUCCGAGUGUAGAGGUGAAAUUCGUAGAUAUUCGGAGGAACACCGGUGGCGAAGGCGGCCACCUGGUCCGGUACUGACGCUCAAGUGCGAAAGCGUGGGGAGCAAACAGGAUUAGAUACCCUGGUAGUCCACGCUGUAAACGAUGGGUGCUAGAUGUCGGGGGGCUUGCUCUUCGGUGUCGUAGCUAACGCGUUAAGCACCCCGCCUGGGGAGUACGGCCGCAAGGUUAAAACUCAAAUGAAUUGACGG
rnacentral:rRNA from 1 species